UGUGGUUGGUUUGGACGAGAGGGUAACAUUCAAAAAAAUUAUUACCCGCUCAGCCAUGUGAUAGAGUAAAUUAACAUCCUCGUAUUAACCAAUCAAAAUAUGGCAUUUUAACGUAAAGUAUAACAUGUAUAAUAAUAACAAAUGUUUCAGGGAAAAAAUUGCGGUGUUUAUUUUAUAUGGCCUAAGGUAGAUUUGUCUAUGACUUUUUAGGUCCUUUUAUGUUAAUGGCUCUUCUACAUUUUCGAUCCUUGUAAAUUUUGGCUUUCAAAUAUACGGUUUUGACAUUCUGAUGAAGGUAAAUCCAACAAAGCGUUUCGGAUUCAUAAAACCUUUAACGUUUUGUUUUCAUUUUUUACAGCACUGAGUUAUAUCAGCACAGUAGUCAGUACUUCGGUACUAACUUGAUUUAUAACAGAAUAUCUUAUAUAGCUUGUUCAUAAAUUUUGUA
rnacentral:lncRNA from 1 species